AAUGAACGUUGGCGGUGUGCUUAACACAUGCAAGUCGAGCGUGAAAGUUCUUCGGAAUGAGUAAAGCGGCGGACGGGUGAGUAACGCGUGAGGAUCUACCCUUCAGUGAAGGAUACCCUUGAGAAAUUAAGGUUAAUACUGCAUACGUCCACUAUUAACAUAGUGGAGAAAGAUGGCCUCUUGCUGUCGCUGAAAGAUGAACUUGCGUUCUAUUAGCUAGUUGGUGGGGUAAAGGCUCACCAAGGCGAUGAUGGAUAGCCGGCCUGAGAGGGUGAUCGGCCACAUUGGAACUGAGAAACGGUCCAGACUCCUACGGGAGGCAGCAGUGAGGAAUAUUGCACAAUGGGCGAAAGCCUGAUGCAGCGACACCGCGUGAAGGAUGAAGGUCUUAGGAUUGUAAACUUCUGUUAAGUGAGAAAAAGAUCUGCUUCAAUAAAGUAGAGGAUGAUAGUAUCACUAGAGAAGCACCGGCUAACUUC
rnacentral:rRNA from 1 species